AAGUCGUAACAAGGUUUCCGUAGGUGAACCUGCGGAAGGAUCAUUAACACGUAUCCAAACGUAAAAAACCCCCCCCGUGAACAUUCAAUCCUGCUCUGGUAAAUCAUAGCCCGGAAAGUAGUUUUGAUUCAGAGACCUCUGGCUACGUGAGAACAUUGGAACAGUUACAAUCGAGCGGUAGUUUCAUAGGCAUUGUUUCCCCAAGCAGUCAGUGUCUGAAAGUGUCACUGAUUGUGCAAGGAUAGCGCUUCAACGAUUCCUGUAGACCGUACACUCGGGCAGGAGCUAUGCCAAAGGGUCCCCAUGCCCCCUUAUAACCCCACAGUUUAAUGUGAAGCUCAAUGUAAUACAUUGGGUAAAAAAACCGAACAACUGUUAACAAUGGAUAUCUUGGUUCUC
rnacentral:misc_RNA from 1 species